rnacentral:misc_RNA from 1 species
UACGAAGGGGGCUAGCGUUGUUCGGAAUUACUGGGCGUAAAGCGCGCGUAGGCGGUUUUACAAGCCAGAGGUGAAAUGCCUGAGCUCAACUUAGGAAUUGCCUUUGGAACUGUAUGGCUUUGAGGACGAGAGAGGUGAGUGGAAUUCCCAGUGUAGAGGUGAAAUUCGUAGAUAUUCGGAGGAACACCAGUGGCGAAGGCGGCUCACUGGCUCGAUACUGACGCUGAGGUGCGAAAGCGUGGGGAGCAAACAGG